rnacentral:rRNA from 1 species
CCCUUAGAUGGUCUGGGCCGCACGCGCGCUACACUGAUGCAUUCAACGAGCCUAUCCUUGACCGACAGGUCCGGGUAAUCUUUGAAUCUGCAUCGUGACGGGGAUAGAUUAUUGCAAUUAUUAAUCUUCAACGAGGAAUGCCUAGUAGGCGCAAGUCAUCAGCUUGCGUCGAUUACGUCCCUGCCCUUUGUACACACCGCCCGUCGCUCCUACCGAUUGGAUGGUCCGGUGAAGCCUCGGGAUUGUGGUUCUUGCCGCUUUAUUGUGGCGUGACCGCGAGAACUUGUCUAAACCUUAUCAUCUAGAGGAAGGUGAAGUCGUAACA